CCUCCGGGCUCCCCGCACAGGAGCGCGGAUCGAGGCGCGGCGUUCUCUGCCCUGACUACGCCCCCGCCUCGUGGUCGGCCCUAUCGGGCCCGCGGGGACCGCACACCCCGCCGGCCACGGUGCCGGCGUCAGCUCCGGGCUGCGGUGCCAAGAGAGGCUGAGGGUCCUCUCCCGGCAC
rnacentral:ncRNA from 1 species